UAGACCAGAUGGCCUCAAACUCACACAGAGAU
rnacentral:piRNA from 1 species